rnacentral:rRNA from 1 species
GACGUAGGGCGCGAGCGUUGUCCGGAUUUAUUGGGCGUAAAGAGCUCGUAGGUGGCUUGUCACGUCGGGUGUGAAAGCUUGGGGCUUAACUCCAGGUCUGCAUUCGAUACGGGCUGGCUAGAGGUAGGUAGGGGAGAGCGGAAUUCCUGGUGUAGCGGUGAAAUGCGCAGAUAUCAGGAGGAACACCGGUGGCGAAGGCGGUUCUCUGGGCCUUACCUGACGCUGAGGAGCGAAAGCGUGGGGAGCGAACAGG